UCAUUAUGAUCGUUAACUGAAUUCUUAAAUUUAGAUAUAUGAUGCACAAACUUUUGUAAAUGCUUGUGGUGUUUAUGUCAUGCACAUAUUGAAUACCUUAUCUAUAUUGUGUUUAUGUGGUUAUUUGGAUUUUGGAGCACAUCACGUAAGUCUCCUCCAAGAUUUCAUAAUAAUUGUACCGAAAGCGUGAAGCUGGAAAGCUGGGAGGUGGCGGCUUCGCUGACCGGACGUGGACUUCGCUCUGCUCUGCAAAAUAAAUGACGUUAGUGUCGGGCUAGGGAAGGGGUCCCGGCGUUAGUCCUCCAACACUCAAGUCAGUCACCGAAAUGUGGAGAAAUAUGGAGCAACAGUAGAACUCAAGAAUAACGCGUACUGCUGCUAGUGAUAGACCCUCCUUUAUAUAGAGCCCCGAUGGGUGACGUGCACGCUUCUCAAGCAUGGGCACGUUCUCCAAUAUGUCCUAUGAAAGGACCUGUCAGGAAAGUACCUCUGACAUCAUAUCUUAACAGAGCAUGCAUAUCCCUGACAAGACAAUAGAAGCUUCUGCCAUACGAUCUUUCUGUCAACCAUGCCUCGUGUCAGCGACACUAUCUCCCAAAAGGAUGUCGAGAGAUACUACAAUGGUUCGGUUGCUGGGCCGAGCGGGGUAGUCGCUCAGCUGGGACUCCGCUCCAUCCGUGGCCAGGUCCCGCUGCUUGGUCGAGCGGGGUAGCCGUUCGGCCGGGAUCCCUCCGCUCUGACGAACUCAUGUGGCUCCUCCUUGCGGUGACUGUUUAGUAACAUGUCCUCCCCCGUUCAAACCAACUAUCCGGUUUCCCUCGACGUCCUGCUACACCGUAUUGAGCGUCGGUUGUCUUACGUGUCAUCCCGAGCUGGACGGGUGGUCUGCUCGGACCUGUCUCCCACCGAUCGGGGCUGACUGCCCGACCGACUAUUUCCAUUGUCUUUCAUUCGAUCCUCUGGCACCUGGGUGUUGACCACCUUGACUUUGACUUCUACCCUGGCAAUUAACCACGUGCCAUGUAGGCCUCCCCCCAUCGUCGCAUCACAAUCCUCCCCUUAAGUCUAGUCGAAUGAGGCUGCAAGUCCGAUUGACUGGACUAGUAGAGUCUUCGAUGACUCCCACACCUUUGUCGUUUGGCUUCGCAUUGUCAGACUGGGUAUAUAACUGGGCUCAACCCAAGCAUUUUGAAGCAAACCGUGUCUCGGCCAUUCGGCUGUGUGAUAAUCGCUUAUCUGUGCUGCUCGGGCAAUGGGUGACAACACUUGGUGAAAAAUUUUCUUUUCCUUUUCUUGGGCUCGCCCUGUCGUCAUCCAGAUUUCUCGAAGACAAUGCAAAUCUCUGAUCCUUAUAGCCGAGCACACGACCAUACAUUUUAAUUAGCCUCAUUAAUGUCGUCCGGUGGUUGAGCGCCACGUGUCCUUUCUGCCGUCGCACAUUUGAUAUGACAGGCGGAUAUCCGUUGGUGAUGUGAUAGGCACCUUUUCAAAUUCAACGGCCGGAUCUUCUCUUAGUUUUUCGCAACCUUGGAUCGGACGGCUCAGGUCGAUCGACCGCGAGGUUUAUAAACCUCGCGUGCGUUGCCGUCUUCUUCACUUCAUGUGCCUUCAUCUUCAAGCUUCCCAAUGACGUUUAGCUUCUUCUACCUCUCCGGCGAUCUCUCUUGUAAGCCUCUUCAUCUUUUCUGUCAAAUCUUUUCGUUGUUCUUCGUCAUCCUUGUUUUCGAUGGCCAGCUCCUCACAGCCCCCCACCUCCAUCCUUGGGCUCUGGUACACUUCCACCGAGUCCAGGUUCGACGGGGGUGACGCUGAGAGUUUGAAAUCUGCUUACGAAUUUCCAUUUGGCUAUCAAAUCGUUCUUCCUUUUGCUUUCGACCGGCCGUAUGAACCACCGCCGGGUUUUUUUUGUUUCUUUGGUGUGCGGAUCCCUGUCCACCCUUUUUUCUCUGCGGACUGUAAAUAUUUUCGUAUUUCUCUUAAUUAAUUAGUGUCAAACUCCUUUCGGCUGUUGUGCGGGGUCGUCGUUCUGUUUCGCCUGCACGACAUUCCUCUGACUCCUCGACUCUUCCAUUAUUUCUAUUAUCCAAAAUUGUCCAAGCCGAGGACUUUUCUUUUUCAGGCUCGAGUGGGCUUAGUCUUCUUUGAUAAGAUGUCAUCGUCCAAGGAGAGACUACUACUUUUUCGUUCGCUUUCCCGAACAGCCAGAUUUCUCGAUCAGCUGGUAGCUAGAAGUGUCGAACCCUCCGGAUCUCAAGAAGUACAAAAGUCAAUCGGACUAUCUCUAUGCAGCCUCUAGCUUAGCCGGUCAGAAGUACUAUAUUCAUAAGUUGCUGCUGGAGGGCGUCCUCUACGUGUUCGGCUUGAGUCCGAUCCGCAUGAAGCUUCUGUUAAGCUCUUUCUUCUCUAGUCUUUGAAUCUAGCUGAUUUUUCCUCCUUUUGCGCAGCUCGAAUCAUGUUGCGAGCACGUCUGGCCGGCAAGUGCAAGUCGCGGAUGCAGAGAUCAACGCUGCGGCUGUGGGCGAACUGGAGGGCCGUGGCUUGUAGUCGGUCGACUCCCAUGAGGAUUCGCUCGGUGAAAGCGAGGAAGCGCCAGUGCAAGGGAGCAAAGCAUGACCCAGCCAGACAACUGGUAGUGGAGCAGCUGGUACAGCCGACCUUCCACCAGAGCGACCCUCGGUGGUUGCGGUUGCGGAGGCCUCCGAAUCGACCUCUUCUGGGGAGCCUCUAAUAAGUCGGAAGAGACGCCGCGCGGAAGUUACCUCCCAAUCCGCCACCUCCGCUAUGCAGACCCCACUCGAGUCGUCUCACGCCCUUCAUCUGAACGGGGCAAAACUUCGACACCCGCUUCUCUUGAACAAGCAGCGGCCGCCCCCCAUAUGUCCGUUUCCUCCGACCAGACUCCGUCUUUGUCCAGGUUGCCCCAAGGAACCCUCUGUGUGCUGUCGGUCUCCUUUCUGCCGUCUACAUCUCUGCCAGUGGUCGGAAAAUCUCGCGUCUGACCGACAUCAACAACCCAGUCGGCCGGCAGAGCAACCUCCGCCUCGUCUGGUCCGAGCGGCCAACGCCAGAUAACGACAGUUACCCAUUUGCCGACAGACGAAUGGCACGACUCGGACGACGUUGCAUGACGGAGCCCCAAACACUAAAUAAUUAUUCAGGGGUCGCUCACAUGGAUAUGGGUCGACGCCUGGGCCCAUGCGACGGUCAUGCCUCCAGGGGCACUCGCCGACAGUCAUACCUAGAUGUCCAUUUGGUAUUGAGUAGAGAUUCUAGUCAUGUGCCAAAGGCUUGCAUUUUUGGAACACGAAAUCCAGCAGCUGCGUGCCCCGAGCGGCCAAGCAGCAGCUUCGCAGGAGCACUUGGAGCAGAUGAGCACCGAGAUGACCCAACUAAAGGCCGAUCUGAAUAAGAGCUUCGAGUUGUUGGAGGCGGAGAGGGGCAAGAGCGCCGAGCAGGCUACGCAAUUGGCUCGGCUUAAUAAACAGGCGAACACCUUCGAGCCCAAGAUCCACUCGACCAACACCAGGAAGCUUCGGGCCAUCUAAGACUUGGAAAUCAAAAACAAAGAGUUUCGGGUGUUGACUCAGAAACUGAAGGAGACGGAGGCCUCGCUGAAUGCUGAGCGAGAGGGCAGGUCAGUUGAUCGGUUUGUAGCGAAGGCCCAGCUCGACGCCAAAGAUGCAAAGCUGGCCACUUUGAAGGCGGAUUUAGAGGCAUCUCGGUUAGCGCUAGAAGUUUGCCAAAGUGUGGAGUCCAGU